rnacentral:rRNA from 1 species
CGAUGAACCGGCUUCGGCCGGGGAUUAGUGGCGAACGGGUGAGUAACACGUGGGCAAUCUGCCCUGCACUCUGGGACAAGCCCUGGAAACGGGGUCUAAUACCGGAUACGACCAUCUUGGGCAUCUUUGAUGGUGGAAAGCUCCGGCGGUGCAGGAUGAGCCCGCGGCCUAUCAGCUUGUUGGUGAGGUAAUGGCUCACCAAGGCGACGACGGGUAGCCGGCCUGAGAGGGCGACCGGCCACACUGGGACUGAGACACGGCCCAGACUCCUACGGGAGGCAGCAGUGGGGAAUAUUGCACAAUGGGCGCAAGCCUGAUGCAGCGACGCCGCGUGAGGGAUGACGGCCUUCGGGUUGUAAACCUCUUUCAGCAGGGAAGAAGCGCAAGUGACGGUACCUGCAGAAGAAGCGCCGGCUAACUACGUGCCAGCAGCCGCGGUAAUACGUAGGGCGCGAGCGUUGUCCGGAAUUAUUGGGCGUAAAGAGCUCGUAGGCGGCUUGUCGCGUCGGUUGUGAAAGCCCGGGGCUUAACCCCGGGUCUGCAGUCGAUACGGGCAGGCUAGAGUUCGGUAGGGGAGAUCGGAAUUCCUGGUGUAGCGGUGAAAUGCGCAGAUAUCAGGAGGAACACCGGUGGCGAAGGCGGAUCUCUGGGCCGAUACUGACGCUGAGGAGCGAAAGCGUGGGGAGCGAACAGGAUUAGAUACCCUGGUAGUCCACGCCGUAAACGGUGGGCACUA